AACGGUCUAUACCUGCGGUACCUGCGGAGGGAUCAUUAACGAUUUCGGUGUAAAAAACCGUUUUCUACCUAUGUCUACGCGUACCACUUGUUUCCUCGGGGGGCUUGCCCCCCGCUAGGACCCUUUAUCAAACCUUUUUGUAAUAGCAGUCAGCGUCUGAUACUACGUUAAUUAUUAAAACUUUUAACAAUGGAUCUCU
rnacentral:misc_RNA from 1 species